CGCCAUGUUCCGGAGCCUGCUGGUGGCGGCGGCGCAGCGGCCGCAGGGCCCGGCCGGGCCCCCCCGCGCCGCCCCCGGCGCCGCGGCCGAGGCGCUGGAGGCGCAGUUCAGCUGCCCCAUCUGCCUCGAGGUUUUCCACCGCGCCGUCGGCAUCGCGGGCUGCGGCCACACGUUUUGUGGGGAAUGCCUGCAGCCCUGCCUGCAGGUGCCCUCCCCGCUGUGCCCGCUCUGCCGUGUGCCCUUCGAUCCCAAAAAGGUGGAGAAGGCUUCCAGCCUGGAGAAGCAGCUCUCGUCCUACAAGGCUCCCUGCAGAGGCUGCAGCAAGAAGGUGACCCUGGCCAAAAUGCGCUCUCACGUCUCGUCCUGCGCCAAGGUGCAGGAGCAGAUGGCCAACUGCCCCAAGUUUGUUCCAGUUGUCCCCACAUCCCAGCCUAUUCCCAGCAACAUUCCCAACCGCUCCACGUUCGUGUGUCCGUACUGCGGCGCGCGGAACCUGGACCAGCAGGAGCUGCUGAAACACUGCAUGGAGAACCACCGCAACGACCCCAACAGAGUGGUGUGCCCGGUGUGCUCGGCCAUGCCCUGGGGGGAUCCCAGCUACAAGAGUGCCAACUUCCUGCAGCACCUGCUCCACAGGCACAAGUUCUCCUACGACACCUUCGUGGAUUACAACAUCGACGAGGAGGCGGCGUUGCAGGCAGCCCUGGCUCUGUCCCUCUCUGAGAACUGAGGCUGAUCCCUCUCCCUGCCCUGGCUCCUUCUGGACACUGCAGGAACCCUCCGGAGCCCCACUCUGUUCCCACUGCAAUUCCCACCUUGUUUGAGAAGGUGGAGGAGCCUCUUCAGUUGUCACAAGAUGUCAGGCUGUCCUGACCCCCGUGCUGGAGGCUGGAGCUGCCUCCUUCAGCUGGAUCCCAGGAUGAGACUGAGCAAUGCUUCAGAGGAGCCCUGGAGGAUGGCAUCCAGCACCCAGGGAAACCUCCCCUUCCUCGUUUUGUACCGGCUCCUGGGACACCAAAUCCUCGCCUUUUUCUACACGAAGCGAAGCCUUUUCCACGUUUUCUAGAGCGGGGUCAGAAGCUGUUCCCCUUCACUCUGCAAUAUCUGCCACCCUGGACAAGAAUAUUUUUAUGGAACAUGAUGAAGAAAGUUUUUAUUUUUUACACAGAUAACCCAAGCAAACCAACACGUGGAUUUGGAACGGGGCAGGAGCUGGAUCCCGGAGCAGCGGGUCGGACUCUGAGGUGGGGGAAGUGCAGGGAUCUUCCUGGGCCUUCCCUGGAUAUUUCUGGGCCUUCCCUGGAUCUCUCUGGGCCUUCCCUGGAUCUCUCUGGGCCUUCCCUGGAUCUCUCUGGGCCUUCCCUGGAUCUCUCUGGGCCUCCCCUGGAUCUCUCUGGGCCUUUCCUGGAUCUCUCUGAGCCUUUCCUGGAUCUCUCUGGGCCUUUCCUGGAUCUCUCUGAGCCUU